rnacentral:RNase_P_RNA from 1 species
AAAGAGCGGUGCGCGGGCGCUGCCCGGAGCGAUCCGGCUAGAGGCAAGUCCGGGCUUCAAAGAGCAGGAUGCCGGCUAACGGCAGGCGGGGGUGACCCUAGGGAAAGUGCAACAGAAAAUAUCACGCCGAUGGAUCAUAUUACACCGGCCAUUAAAUGUCGACAAUGAAUGCGUAGCAUGAAUAUCGAAAUGCAAGGCGGCGGAAGGAGCCGAUGGGAGUCCAUCGGCGACUGACGACAACGCAGCAGGUCGGUAUUCAGACAAGCAGGCAGGUCGAUAUGUAAAGGCCGGGGUAAUAAAGUCACAGGUAAGUUUGAAAUGGCAGGGUAAGAGCCUACCGCGUUUGGGGUAACUCAAAUGGCAGUGUAAACCCCAUCCGAAGCAAGACCAAAACGAAGUGUUGACGCUGCUCGCCGAGCUUCAGGUAGGUUGCUUGAGGCUGCUUAGGCAGUCCUAGAUAGAUGUCCGCGCGCGACAGAACCCGGCUUACAGCCGCUCUUUCUUU